UACGGAGGGAGCUAGCGUUGUUCGGAAUUACUGGGCGUAAAGCGCGCGUAGGCGGCUUUGUAAGUUAGAGGUGAAAGCCCGGGGCUCAACCCCGGAACUGCCUUUAAGACUGCAUCGCUUGAAUCCGGGAGAGGUGAGUGGAAUUCCGAGUGUAGAGGUGAAAUUCGUAGAUAUUCGGAAGAACACCCGUGGCGAAGGCGGCUCUCUGGUACGUGACUGACGCUGAGACGCGAAAGCGUGGGGAGCGAACAGG
rnacentral:rRNA from 1 species